CCUACGGGAGGCAGCAGUGAGGAAUAUUGGUCAAUGGGCGGAAGCCUGAACCAGCCAAGUAGCGUGCGGGAUGAAGGCCCUACGGGUCGUAAACCGCUUUUGCACGGGGAUAACACCCUCCACUUGUGGAGGUCUGCAGGUACCGUGCGAAUAAGGGCCGGCUAAUUCCGUGCCAGCAGCCGCGGGAAUACGGAAGGUCCGAGCGUUAUCCGGAUUCAUUGGGGUUAAAGGGAGGGUAGGCGGGCGUUAAAGUCAGCGGGAAAAUCGCGCGGCUCAACCGCGCCCCGGCGUUGAAACUGGGCGGCUUGAGUGGACUAGAGGAAGGCGGAAUGCGUGGUGUAGCGGUGAAAUGCAUAGAGAUCACGCAGAACCCCGAUUGCGAAGGCAGCCUGCCGGGGUGCGACUGACGCUGAGGCUCGAAGGUGCGGGUAUCAAACAGGAUUAGAUACCCCAGUAGUC
rnacentral:rRNA from 1 species